AGAGUUUGAUCCUGGCUCAGGAUGAACGCUCGCUGCGUGCCUUAGGCAUGCAAGUCGAACGAGAGAGAUCGCAAGAUCAAUCUAGUGGCAGACGGGUGAGUAUAAAGUAGGAAUCUACCUCUUGGUGGGGAAUAGCUGGCCGAAAGGCCAAUUAAUACCGCAUAACAUCGCAAGAUAAAAGGGCAUAACUGCCCGCCGAGAGAGGAGCCUGCUUACCAUCAAGCUUGUUGGUAGGGUAACGGCCUACCAAGGCUAACGACGGUUAGGGGGUGUGAGAGCAUGGCCCCCCACAAGGUCACUGAGACACGGGACCUACACCUACGGGAUGGCAGCAACCGGGAAUAUUGCGCAAUGGACGAAAGUCUGACGCAGCGACGCCGCGUGCGGGAUGAAGGCCUUCGGGUCGUAAACCGCUGUGGAGGGGGAAGAAAUUUUGACGGUACCCCUCUAGAAAGCACCUGCUAACUACGUGCCAGAAGCCUCGGUAAUACGUAGGGUGCAAGCGUUAUCACGGAUUCACUGGGCGUAAAACGUCUCGUAGGCGGCAAUGUAAGUGACGGGUUAAAUCCUUCGGCUUAACCGAAGACCAGCUCGUCAAACUACAUCGCUAGAGUCGGUUCGGGGAUAUUGGAAUUCUUGGUGGAGGGGUGAAAUCCGUUGAUAUCAAGAAGAACGCCAUAGACGAAGGUAGAUAUCUAGGACCAGACUGACGCUGAUGAACGAAAGCUAGGGUAGCGAAAGGGAUUAGAGACCCCUGUAGUCCUAGCCGUAAACUUCUGGUUGUCUCGUUGUGACAGCCGCAAGCUAAAGCGUUAAGUGUUCUGCCUGGCGAGUACGACCGCAAGGUUAAACCUCAAAGGAAUUGACGGGGAAACGCACAACCAGCGUCCCAUGUGGUUUAAUUCGAUACGAAACGAAGAACCUUACCUGGGUUUGAAAAUGUACCUGCAAGCUCUAAGAAACUAGAGCCGCCUUCGAGGGUGGUACACAGCUGCUGCAUGGUUGUCGUCAGCUCGUGUCGUGAGGCGUCGGCUUAAGUGCCGUAACGAGCGCAACCCCUAUUGCAUGUUGAAUAUUCAUGCGAGACUGCCUUGGUUCUACCAGGGAGGAAGGAGGGGACGACGUCAAAUCAUCAUGGCGCUUACAUCCAGGGCGACACACAUGGGGUAAUGGACAAUACAACGGGUCGCGAAAGGGUAACCUCGAGCUAAUCCUAAUAAAGUUGUCCUCAGUUCGGAUUGUGGUCUGCAACUCGACCACAUGAAGGGGAGUUGGUAGUAAUCGCAAGUCAGCUAUAUUGCGGUGAAUACGUUCUCGUUUCUUGUACACACCGCCCGUCAAGUCAACAAAGUCAGCAGUGCCCGAAGUCGGUACCGAUAACCGCAAGGAAUCGGCCGCCUAAGGCGAGGUUGGCGAUGGGGGCUAAGUCGUAACAAGGUAACC
rnacentral:rRNA from 1 species